GCAAGGCGAGAGAGGAAAAUAAAUGGGUUCUGGAGGCCGAAGUCUGCAGUCAAGGUGUGGGCCGGGCCCGCUCCCUCUGAAGGCUGCAUGGGAGGGUUCUCCCCGCCUCCUCCAGCUCCUCGUGCUGCAGGCAGCCCCUGGCGUCCCUCCGCUUGCAGAGCAUCAUGCCAAUCUCCACGUCUGUCGCCACACAAGCUUCUCCCUGUGGGUUUCUGCCUGUGUCUGUUUUCCCUUCUUCUAAAGACUAUUGGAUUCGAGUCCACCCUCAUCAAGUGUGACGUCCUCUUACAUGAUCACAUCUCCAAGACCCUAUUCCAAAUAAGGUCACAUUCAUAGGUCCUGGGGGUAGAGCUUCAACAUGCUUUUUCACGGGACACAAUUUAACCCAUAACAUCAUACACAGAGGCCAGAGAGGCCAGCCUGCCUGACCUUUGGGGGAAAUACUGCUGAGGAGCAUCAGGGAAUGAGGUUGGAGGAGGAUGUGAGGCAGGCGGGGUUCUGGGUGGUCUCAGAGAUGACGCCACA
rnacentral:lncRNA from 10 species